rnacentral:rRNA from 1 species
AAUCAACGCUGGCGGCGUGCCUCAGACAUGCAAGUCGAACGCGAAAGUUUCCUUCGGGAAGCGAGUAGAGUGGCGUCCGGGUGAGUAACACGUAGGUAAUCUACCUUUGGGUGGGGAAUAACAACCGGAAACGGUUGCUAAUACCGCAUAAUGCAGCGGCACCACAUGGUGACAGUUGUUAAAGCGGGGGAUCGCAAGACCUCGCGCCUAAAGAGGAGCCUGCGGCGGAUUAGCUAGNGGUAAGGUAACGGCUUACCAAGGCAACGAUCCGUAGCCGGCCUGAGAGGGCGGUCGGCCACACUGACACUGAAAUACGGGUCAGACUCCUACGGGAGGCAGCAGUCGGGAAUUUUGGGCAAUGGGCGAAAGCCUGACCCAGCAACGCCGCGUGAAGGAUGAAAUCCCUCGGGAUGUAAACUUCGCAAGAACAGGAAGAAUAAGUAGGGACAAUACCCCCUAUGAUGACGGUACUGUUUGUAAGCUCGGCUAACUCCGUGCCAGCAGCCGCAG